rnacentral:rRNA from 1 species
AUUGAACGCUGGCGGCAGGCCUAACACAUGCAAGUCGAGCGAGCGGCGGACGGGUGAGUAAUGUCUGGGAAACUGCCUGAUAGAGGGGGAUAACUACUGGAAACGGUAGCUAAUACCGCAUACCAUCGGAUGUUCCCAUAUGGGAUUAGCUAGUAGGUGGGGUAAAGGCUCACCUAGGCGACGAUCCCUAGCUGGUCUGAGAGGAUGACCAGCCACACUGGAACUGAGACACGGUCCAGACUCCUACGGGAGGCAGCAGUGGGGAAUAUUGCACAAUGGGCGCAAGCCUGAUGCAGCCAUGCCGCGUGUGUGAAGAAGGCCUUAGGGUUGUAAAGUACUUUCAGCGAGGAGGCGUUACUCGCAGAAGAAGCACCGGCUAACUCCGUGCCAGCAGCCGCGGUAAUAC